rnacentral:rRNA from 1 species
UAGGGAAUAUUAGAAAUGGACGAAAGUCUGAUCUAGCAACACCGCGUGCGAUGAAGGCCUUCGGGUUGUAAAGCACUUUUUGGAGGGAUUAGGAAGGAAUGUACUUCCAGAAUAAGUCUCGGCUAACUACGUGCCAGCAGCCGCGGUAACACGUAGGAGGCGAACGUUAUCCGGAUUUACUGGGCGUAAAGCGCGUGUAGGUGGUUCUGUAAGUAGGGCGUGAAAGCUCCUGGCUCAACUGGGAGAGGCCGUUCUAAACUGCAGAGCUAGAGGAUGGUAGAGGGAGGUGGAAUUCCGGGUGUAGCGGUGGAAUGCGCAGAUAUCCGGAGGAACACCAGUGGCGAAGGCGGCCUCCUGGACCAUUCCUGACACUCAGACGCGAAAGCUAGGGUAGCAAACGG